UUCCGGUUGAUCCUGCCGGACCCGACUGCUAUCAGAGUAGGACUAAGCCAUGCGAGUCGACGUAGCAAUGCGUGGCGAACGGCUCAGUAACACGUAGUCAACAUGCCCAAGGGACGUGGAUAACCUCGGGAAACUGAGAAUAAACCACGAUAGGUCAUGAUUUCUGGAAUGGAUCAUGGCUCAAAUCUACAUGGCCCCUGGAUUGGACUGCGGCCGAUCAGGCAGUUGGUGAGGUAAAGGCCCACCAAACCUAUAACCGGUACGGGCUCUGAGAGGAGAAGCCCGGAGAUGGGCACUGAGACAAGGGCCCAGGCCCUAUGGGGCGCAGCAGGCGCGAAACCUCUGCAAUAGGCGAAAGCCUGACAGGGUUACUCUGAGUGAUUUCCGCUAAGGGGAUCUUUUGGCACCUCUAAAAAUGGUGCAGAAUAAGGGGUGGGCAAGUCUGGUGUCAGCCGCCGCGGUAAUACCAGCACCCCGAGUGGUCGGGACGAUUAUUGGGCCUAAAGCAUCCGUAGCCGGUUCUGCAAGUCUUCCGUUAAAUCCAGCCGCUCAACGGAUGGGCCGCGGAGGAUACUACAGGACUAGGAGGCGGGAGAGGCAAGCGGUACUCAGUGGGUAGGGGUAAAAUCCUUUGAUCCAUUGAAGACCACCAGUGGCGAAGGCGGCUUGCCAGAACGCGCUCGACGGUGAGGGAUGAAAGCUGGGGAGCAAACCGGAUUAGAUACCCGGGUAGUCCCAG
rnacentral:rRNA from 1 species